UCAGAUUGAACGCUGGCGGCGUGCUUAACACAUGCAAGUCGCGCGUGAAAGGACUUCGGUCCGAGUAAAGCGGCGCACGGGUGAGUAACGCGUGGAUGAUCUACCCAUGAGUUAGGAAUAACGGCUGGAAACGGUCGCUAAUACCAAAUACGCUCCGAUUUCAACUUCGGGGGAAAGGUGGCCUCUGCUUGCAAGCUACUGCUCAUGGAUGAGUCCGCGUCCCAUUAGCUAGUUGGUGGGGUAACGGCCCACCAAGGCGACGAUGGGUAGCCGGUCUGAGAGGAUGACCGGCCACACUGGGACUGGAACACGGCCCAGACUCCUACGGGAGGCAGCAGUGGGGAAUAUUGCGCAAUGGGCGAAAGCCUGACGCAGCGACGCCGCGUGAGGGACGAAGGUCCUCGGAUCGUAAACCUCUGUCAGGAGGGAAGAACCGCCACGGUGCUAAUCAGCCGUGGUCUGACGGUACCUCCAAAGGAAGCACCGGCUAGCUCCGUGCCAGCCGCCGC
rnacentral:rRNA from 1 species